rnacentral:rRNA from 1 species
UAGGGAAUAUUAGUAAUGGGCGAAAGCCUGAACUAGCAACACCGCGUGUGCGAAGAAGGCCUUCGGGUUGUAAAGCACUUUUUGAGAGGAUGAGGAAGGACGGUACUCUCAGAAUAAGUAUCGGCUAACUACGUGCCAGCAGCCGCGGUAACACGUAGGAGGCGAACGUUAUCCGGAUUUACUGGGCGUAAAGCGCGUGUAGGUGGUUCUGUAAGUAGGGCGUGAAAGCUCCUGGCUCAACUGGGAGAGGCCGUUCUAAACUACAGAACUAGAGGAUGGUAGAGGGAGGUGGAAUUCCAGGUGUAGCGGUGGAAUGCGCAGAUAUCUGGAGGAACACCAGUGGCGAAGGCGGCCUCCUGGACCAUUCCUGACACUCAGACGCGAAAGCUAGGGUAGCAAACG